UUAAAAACAACACUCACUCGGGGCUGAGCUGAGCUUAAUCUUGGUGCUGCCAGUCCCUCCCCGAGCUGAGCAACCCUGAAACACGAGCCUGGGAGGGCAGGGCACUGUUUCUCUUAGACAAGCUUCUACCCUCCACUGUUUGGAAGCAGUGCUCCAGUUUAGCCUGCAGUGAUGGCUCUUGCAUCCUUUUCCAUUCAGCUCCUGAGUCCAGUGAAAACUGAGUGUGUACACACGUGAGAAAUGGCUGCUUUUCUCCAGGCAAGCACGUGAAUUUCAGAACUCUAAGAAAUAAAGUCCUGACCUACCUGGAGUGAUUUGGGUGUCAGGAGGCACCUGGGAGCCUCCUUUGGUGUCCUGGGUGUGGCCGUGGCUGUAAAAGGAUGGAGCAGGGGGGAGAGGAGCAGUGAUUGGGACCAAUGGUUCCUUGGGGAUUUGCAUCUGGAAACAGCCAUCCUUUUCCCCAUGGGAGUCCUGGAAACAGCACUGAGCAAUGAGGAUACUGCAGCUGGAGCGCUGGCAAUGGAGCGUCUGCAGGGAAUAUUGCCUG